rnacentral:rRNA from 1 species
ACGAACGCUGGCGGCGUGCUUCACACAUGCAAGUCGAACGGAAAGGCCCUGCUUUUGUGGGGUGCUCGAGUGGCGAACGGGUGAGUAACACGUGAGUAACCUGCCCUUGACUUUGGGAUAACUUCAGGAAACUGGGGCUAAUACCGGAUAGGAGCUCCUGCUGCAUGGUGGGGGUUGGAAAGUUUCGGCGGUUGGGGAUGGACUCGCGGCUUAUCAGCUUGUUGGUGGGGUAGUGGCUUACCAAGGCUUUGACGGGUAGCCGGCCUGAGAGGGUGACCGGCCACAUUGGGACUGAGAUACGGCCCAGACUCCUACGGGAGGCAGCAGUGGGGAAUAUUGCACAAUGGGCGGAAGCCUGAUGCAGCAACGCCGCGUGCGGGAUGACGGCCUUCGGGUUGUAAACCGCUUUCGCCUGUGACGAAGCGUGAGUGACGGUAAUGGGUAAAGGAGCACCGGCUAACUACGUG